UACGGGGGGGGGCAAGCGUUUGUUCGGAAUUACUGGGCGUAAAGGGCGCGUAGGCGGCCACCGCAAGUCGACUGUGAAAUCUCCGGGCUUAACCCGGAAAGGUCAGCCGAUACUGCGGGGCUAGAGUGCAGAAGGGGCAACUGGAAUUCUCGGUGUAGCGGUGAAAUGCGUAGAUAUCGUCAAGAACACCUAUAGCGAAGGCAGCUUACUAGGCUGUAACUGACGCUGAGGCACGAAAGUGUGGGGAUCAAACAGG
rnacentral:rRNA from 1 species